ACAGCAGUGACUGGUCAUGCCCCAUCCUGUGGGCAUCUCUGCCACUGUGUCUCCAGGUGUACGCGUAGGAAUGUGAACUCCUGCCACACCACGAAGCACCAGUCCUGUGUGCAUGGGGACCGGACCUGCACUGGGCCCUAGGGCGCCUUCUCCCGACUCGACUGUACUCGGAGGCACCCAGUCUGGAAAGCCAGGAGAGACCCAGCUUCCUGCUCCUGCAAACUUCACACUGCAGGUGCGCUGGAGACCCUGCUCCUUCACCUUUUCCUGUGCAUCUAGUUCGUGCCGGAAGGCACUUCACUCUUGAACUGUGCCUUUUCAUUGGAUGGAAAUAGAAAAUGUCUACUGCUCACAAAGACUGGAAAAGAAACAAAGGAGAAACUCUGAACUGCUUCUGCAACAUCAGGAUGGCCAUUAUCAGAGAAAUGAACUAUCUCUGACCAGUAAUCAAGUUCUCAAUUCAGGCAUCUCUUCAUUUUAUGACUGCAGCUGUCAUUUCAAUACCUGAUACAUUUAAUUCAAAGGUAAACUGGAAUUUUUGAGACCAAGUUAGAGGGUUCCUUUAUGCUAUCUUGGUCCAACAUGGCUUUGAAGUGAAGGUCAUAUGGAUAAUCAAUGGGUUUAAAGGGGAUUGAGGGUGAAAUAAAAAAAUAAUUCUAUCAGUAUACACACUGGGACCUGCAGUAGCACGAAGGAGUGGACACCUCUGACCUGCCGACCUCUCACCAUUGAAACAUGAGGUGGACUUUGUAAGACAGGAAUCUAGAAGUGUCCUACAUUGAAUGGCGACCAACAGUCAUGGCAUAGGUCUGUUUGGGGAAACUUCAGGUCAACCGCGUGGUCAGCACCAAAGAGCCGCUUCACAGCUGGGGCUCCAUCCUCUCAAACCUGCUUGUGUGCACCCCCUCACCACUCACUGACGGGCACUGUCACCUUCUGCUCCCCCGGCGACUAGUGCUCACAGGGCAACUCAGCUGAAAGGGCGUGCGAGGGAAGUACGAAUAAAGUGUUCGCUUGUCCCAUGUGGGAAUGCUGAGCGAGGUGGACGCCAGCCUGCACCGCACUUGCCAGAGGUAUGAUCCUGACACUGCCUCCUUAGGAGACUGCGCCUCCCGUGGGACCUGCUCCUGAGUCUACUUCUUUUCCCUUGGGAAACUGUACCCUCACAAAAAGCCCAUCCUGGUGAAUUAAAUAGACCGCCAAAACAGGGGAAAUCGUUCUGUUUAAAGCCCUCACUUACACGAAAUGAACAAGUUUUAUGUGUGUCUGUUGCCAGUCCCCACCCAACGCUGCCCUUACUUCAGCUGGGCCUGGGAGAUGUGAAUGGCCGUUUCCUUCUGCAAAUGAAAGCCCAUAGGGAAGAAAAGACACUUGAAAAAACUCCUGGCUUUGAGAGUGAAAUUUCUAAAUUAGAUGACAACGCUAAGAAAAUAUGUAUAUCUCUACAUAAAACUACUGUAUAAUUUAGUAAUUCUCAUGCAUUAUCUGAAAAUGAAUAAUAAUUAUGUGAAGUUGGCUCCCUGAUAAAUCAAUCUCUAAUUUAAAAAGUGAUGUUUAGAGCUAUAAAAGAU